rnacentral:rRNA from 1 species
GACGAACGCUGGCGGCGUGCCUAAUACAUGCAAGUUGAGCGCUGAAGGUUGGUACUUGUACCAACUGGAUGAGCAGCGAACGGGUGAGUAACGCGUGGGGAAUCUGCUUUUGAGCGGGGGACAACAUUUGGAAACGAAUGCUAAUACCGCAUAAAAACUUUAACCACAGGUUUCAAGUUUGAAAGAUGCAUUUCCAUCAUUCAAAGAUGGUCCCCCGUUGGAUUAGCUAGUUGGUGAGGUAAAGGCCCACCAAGGCGAUGAUACAUAGCCGACCUGAGAGGGUGGUCGGCCCAAUUGGGACUGAGACACGGCCCAAACUCCUACGGGAGGCAGCAGUAGGGAAUCUUCGGCAAUGGAGGAAAGGCUGACCGAGCAACGCCGCGGGAGGGAAGAAGGUUUUCGGAUCGGAAAACUCUGUUGGUAGAGAAGAACGUUGGUGAGAGUGGAAAGCUCAUCAAGUGACGGUAACUACCCAGAAAGGGACGGCUAACUACGUG